CCACACCUAAAAAAACUUUCCACGUGAACCGUUUCAACCCCAUAGUUGGGGGUCUUAUUUGGCGGCGGCUGCUGGCUUAAUUGUUGGCGGCUGCUGCUGAGUGAGCCCUAUCAAAAAAAAGGCGAACGUUUGGGCUUCGGCCUGAUUUAUUAGUCUUUUUUUUUUUUUAACCCCUUCCUUAAUACUGAAUAUACUGUGGGGACGAAAAUCUCUGCUUUUAACUAGAUAGCAACUUUCAGCAGUGGAUGUCUAGGCUCGCACAUCGAUGAAGAACGCUGCGAACUGCGAUACGUAAUGCGAAUUGCAGGAUUCAGUGAGUCAUCGAAAUUUUGAACGCAUAUUGCACUUCCGGGUUAGUCCUGGAAGUAUGCCUGUAUCAGUGUCCGUACAUUAAACUUGACUUUCUUCCUUCCGUGUAGUCGGUGGAGGAGAUGUCAGAUGUGAAGUGUCUUGCGAUUGGUCUUCGGACCGGCUGCGAGUCCUUUUAAAUGUACUAAACUGAACUUCUCUUUGCUCGAAAAGUGGUGGCGUUGCUGGUUGUGAAGGCUGCUAUUGUGGCAAAUUGGCGACUGGUUUGUCUGCUGCGGCAUUAAUGGAAGAGUGUUCGAUUCGUGGUAUGGUUGGCUUCGGCUGAACAAUGCACUUAUUGGACGUUUUUCCUGCUGUGGCGUGAUGGACUGGUGAACCAUAGCUCGGUGGCUUGGCUUUUGAAUUGGCUUUGCUGUUGCGAAGUAGGGUGGCAGCUUCGGUUGUCGAGGGUCGAUCCAUUUGGGAACUUAAUGUGUACUUCGGUAUGCAUCUCAA
rnacentral:rRNA from 1 species